GACGUAGGGCGCGAGCGUUGUCCGGAUUUAUUGGGCGUAAAGAGCUCGUAGGCGGCUUGUCACGUCGGGUGUGAAAGCCCGGGGCUUAACCCCGGGUCUGCAUUCGAUACGGGCAGGCUAGAGUGUGGUAGGGGAGAUCGGAAUUCCUGGUGUAGCGGUGAAAUGCGCAGAUAUCAGGAGGAACACCGGUGGCGAAGGCGGAUCUCUGGGCCAUUACUGACGCUGAGGAGCGAAAGCGUGGGGAGCGUACAGG
rnacentral:rRNA from 1 species